rnacentral:rRNA from 1 species
GUAUCCUGGCUCAGGAUGAACGCUAGCUACAGGCUUAACACAUGCAAGUCGAGGGGCAGCAUUUUAGUUUGCUUGCAACUAAAGAUGGCGACCGGCGCACGGGUGAGUAACACGUAUCCAACCUGCCGAUAACUCGGGGAUAGCCUUUCGAAGAAAGAUUAAUAUCCGAUGGUAUAUUAAAACCGCAUGGUUUUACUAUUAAAGAAUUUCGGUUAUCGAUGGGGAUGCGUUCCAUUAGUUUGUUGCGGGUAACGGCC